rnacentral:lncRNA from 1 species
AAUAUUAUAUUUCUGUUUGCCCUAAAAAUGCAAUGGUUUCUUAUGUCUUUCAGCCUCAAGCUUUAUUCCAGGAAGGUAAUUCUGAAGAUACCUAUCUUCUUGAGAGUGAAAUUUUAUGAAAUCCUAGAUUUCUCCUACCUAGGAAUAACGCAGGUCAUCAAAACUGAAAGCAUUGUAGGGGAUGAGGAGAAUGAGAACAAUACAAAAAUAGACACAUCCUUAAACGUAAGCCUGGUUUUGCUGGAAAAACAUCAAGAAAGGAAGAACAAGAGCCAAAAUUAACCAAACCGUAUUCCCUCGAUAAGCCUGCAUGUUGUGAAUGAUUGUUUUGAAUAAAGAAAUAUUGAAUUAUUUUCAGCAUCUUCUGGUUAAGGAAACUGUAUACCUUCUCAAAGAUUUUGAAGCCUAAAUUGGUUACAUAUUUGACUUAUUAAGAAGUAAGCCUCAAUUGUGUGAAUAAUUAUAUACUCUGGGUGACUUUGGCCUUCUUUUAUCCCAUUUAAAUAAGGUAUUAU